CAGGAAUGUUCGAGAAUUAUUCCUGAAUAAUUCAUGAACCUGAAUUAAUCAUGCAUUUUCAUGAAUUAUUCAUGAAUAACUCAUGGAAAUGCAAGGUUUAUUCAUGCUCCAAAAAACCCAAGGCUUUUUCUCUUCUCCUCUGCAUUCUCUCCCUGUAAGAAACAGACCUGAAAUAAGCUAAGGAAUAUAUAUAUAUAUUGGGGACAGCAGGUGGGAGC
rnacentral:lncRNA from 1 species